rnacentral:rRNA from 1 species
UGAGCAAUCUGCCCUUCUCUUCGGAAUAAGCGUUGGAAACGACGUCUAAUGCCGAAUACGACCUCCUUUCGCAUGAUCGGAGGUGGAAAGCUCCGGCGGAGAAGGAUGAGCUCGCGGCCUAUCAGCUAGUUGGNGAGGUAACGGCUCACCAAGGCUUCGACGGGUAGCCGGCCUGAGAGGGUGACCGGCCACACGUGGGACUGAGACUACGGCCCAGACCUCCGUACGGGAGGNAG